rnacentral:rRNA from 1 species
UACGAAGGGGGCUAGCGUUGCUCGGAAUCACUGGGCGUAAAGGGUGCGUAGGCGGGUCUUUAAGUCAGGGGUGAAAUCCUGGAGCUCAACUCCAGAACUGCCUUUGAUACUGAAGAUCUUGAGUUCGGGAGAGGUGAGUGGAACUGCGAGUGUAGAGGUGAAAUUCGUAGAUAUUCGCAAGAACACCGGUGGCGAAGGCGGCCAUCGUCGGACCGAGUACUGACGCUGAGGCGGCGAAAAGCGUGGGGAGACCAAACAGGGAUUCAAGAAACC